GUUUCUGUAGUGUAGUGGUUAUCACGUUCGCCUAACAGGCGAAAGGUUCAGUUCGAAAGAUGUUACU
rnacentral:tRNA from 1 species